rnacentral:rRNA from 1 species
UGGGGAAUUUUGGACAAUGGGCGAAAGCCUGAUCCAGCAAUGCCGCGUGAGUGAAGAAGGCCUUCGGGUUGUAAAGCUCUUUUGUCAGGGAAGAAACGGUGAAAGCUAAUAUCUUUUGCUAAUGACGGUACCUGAAGAAUAAGCACCGGCUAACUACGUGCCAGCAGCCGCGGUAAUACGUAGGGUGCAAGCGUUAAUCGGGAUUACUGGGCGUAAAGCGUGCGCAGGCGGUUUUGUAAGUCUGAUGUGAAAUCCCCGGGCUCAACCUGGGAAUUGCAUUGGAGACUGCAAGGCUAGAAUCUGGCAGAGGGGGGUUAGAAUUCCACGUGUAGCAGUGAAAUGCGUAGAUAUGUGGAGGAACACCGAUGGCGAAGGCAGCCCCCUGGGUCAAGAUUGACGC